UGGAUGUCAGAGUCUGAGAAGAUAUCACUCAAGUCAGAAGACGUCACUCAGAACCCAUUUGUGACUGGCAUCAUCACAAAUUAUAUAGUAGUGGAUGGUUUGAACAGCAGUAUUGAAUCCCAACCAUGGAUUGCCUUACUUUACAAGAUCAAUGGGAGAACCAUAAACCAGAAUUUUUCCCAACAUCUUCUAGUAUGGUGGUGGCAGUCUUCUAGGCUCUUACUGUAGCACACUGCUUUUCAGAUAGAAAGAAAAAAAUAUCUAGUUAUAGUUGUAAAAUCUUGAAGAAGAAAAAGAGAAAAGGAGGACAAGGGGUAAAGAUUUUUAUUGACAAAAAUAAACCAACAGUAGAACUGAAGGGAUAACACCAUUAAUAGUGAUAUUGUAUUGAAGAAGAUUCAGGAGACGGGAGACUACUGACAACCUGCUGUGUGCUGUUGACUCCAAGUGGAAGGUUGUUGCUUGCAAGG